CGCCUAUUGUCUCAAAGCUGUAAUCUCCCAUACAAAUCCACAAUCCCCAAUAACAACCACAUGAAUCACCAACAGGAAAAGUUGUCAAUCAAUGAUGGAGUUCACCAAAAGUAUGCAAUACAAAUUUAACCAGACUAAGAAUGGGCAAAAUCAUAGCAACACCCUAAGCGAUGAAGUAUAAUUCCAAAUAAACACUGGCAACUGAAGUCUAGAUGCUAUCAAUAACGACUCUAGUAAGAAAUGAAUCAUCUGAGACAAA
rnacentral:misc_RNA from 1 species